rnacentral:tRNA from 1 species
GGAAGUGUGCCCGAGCAGGGACUACAUUGAUAGAGUAGACACGGAGAAAACACUCCCACUUCCC